rnacentral:rRNA from 1 species
GCACAAGCGGUGGAGUAUGUGGUUUAGUUCGAUGCAACGCGAAGAACCUUACCUGGUCUUGACAUCCCGGAGACCCUUAGGAAACUAGGGGGUGCUUCCAUCUGGAAGAAUCUGGAGACAGGUGCUGCAUGGCUGUCGUCAGCUCGUGUCGUGAGAUGUUGGGUUAAGUCCCGCAACGAGCGCAACCCUUGCCUUUAGUUGCCAGCAGUUCGGCUGGGCACUCUAAAGGGACUGCCGGUGUUAAACCGGAGGAAGGUGGGGAUGACGUCAAGUCCUCAUGGCCUUUAUGACCAGGGCUACACACGUACUACAAUGGCCGAUACAAAGGGCAGCGACACUGCGAGGUGAAGCCAAUCCCGUAAAAUCGGUCUCAGUCCGGAUUGGAGUCUGCAACUCGACUCCAUGAAGUUGGAAUCGCUAGUAAUCGUGGAUCAGCAUGCCACGGUGAAUACGUUCCCGGGCCUU